CCUACGGGUGGCAGCAGUGAGGAAUAUUGGUCAAUGGACGAGAGUCUGAACCAGCCAAGUAGCGUGAAGGAGGAAUGCCCUAUGUGUUGUAAACUUCUUUUAUAAAGGAAUAAAACGAGGCACGUGUGCCUGUUUGCAUGUACUUUAUGAAUAAGCAUCGGCUAACUCCGUGCCAGCAGCCGCGGUAAUACGGAGGAUCCGAGCGUUAUCCGGAUUUAUUGGGUUUAAAGGGAGCGUAGAUGGGUUGUUAAGUCAGUUGUGAAAGUUUGCGGCUCAACCGUAAAAUUGCAUUUGAUACUGGCAGUCUCGAGUACAGUUGAGGUAGGCGGAAUGCGUGGUGUAGCGGUGAAAUGCUGAGAUAUCGCGAAGAACCCCGAUUGCGAAGGCAGCUUACUAACCUGUGACUGACAUUGAGGCACGAAAGUGUGGGUAUCAAACAGGAUUAGAUACCCUUGUAGUC
rnacentral:rRNA from 1 species